rnacentral:rRNA from 1 species
ACGUAGGGGGCGAGCGUUGUCCGGAAUUACUGGGCGUAAAGGGUGCGUAGGUGGCCUUUUAAGUUGGAUGUGAAAUACCCGGGCUUAACUUGGGGGGUGCAUCUAAUACUGGAGGGCUAGAGUGCAGGAGAGGAAAGCGGAAUUCCUAGUGUAGCGGUGUAAUGCGCAGAUAUUAAGAGGAAGACCAGAGGCGGAGGCGAGUUACUGGAAUUAAACUGACCCGUAGUCCCGUAAGCGUGUUGAGCUAACAG